rnacentral:rRNA from 1 species
GACGAACGCUGGCGGCGUGCUUAACACAUGCAAGUCGAACGGAAAGGCCCUGCUUGCAGGGUACUCGAGUGGCGAACGGGUGAGUAACACGUGGGUGAUCUGCCCUGCACUUCGGGAUAAGCCUGGGAAACUGGGUCUAAUACCGGAUAGGAGCCAUUUUUAGUGUGAUGGUUGGAAAGUUUUUUCGGUGUAGGAUGAGCUCGCGGCCUAUCAGCUUGUUGGUGGGGUAAUGGCCUACCAAGGCGGCGACGGGUAGCCGGCCUGGGAGGGUGGACGGCCACAUUGGGACUGAGAUACGGCCCAGACUCCGACGGGAGGCAGCAGUGGGGAAUAUUGCACGAGGGGCGCAAGCCUGAUGCAGCGACGCCGCGUGGGGGAUGACGGCCUUCGGGUUGUAAACUCCUUUCGCUAGGGACGAAGCUUUUUGUGACGGUACCUAGAUAAGAAGCACCGGCUAACUACGUG